rnacentral:rRNA from 1 species
CAGUAGCCGCGGUAAUACAGAGGGUGCGAGCGUUAAUCGGAUUUACUGGGCGUAAAGCGUGCGUAGGCGGCUUUUUAAGUCGGAUGUGAAAUCCCUGAGCUUAACUUAGGAAUUGCAUUCGAUACUGGGAAGCUAGAAUAUGGGAGAGGAUGGUAGAAUUCCAGGUGUAGCGGUGAAAUGCGUAGAGAUCUGGAGGAAUACCGAUGGCGAAGGCAGCCAUCUGGCCUAAUACUGACGCUGAGGUACGAAAGCAUGGGGAGCAAACAGGAUUAGAUACCCCUGUAGUCCCUGUCUCUUAUAC